rnacentral:misc_RNA from 1 species
AACGCACAUUGCGCCCUCUGGUAUUCCGGGGGGCACACCUGUUCGAGCGUCAUCGCACACCUCAAGCUUUGCUUGGUGUUGGGCCAGUCGUCCCGGCCGUUCUGGCGGGACGCGCCUUAAAGCGAUGGGCGACGGUGCCUAGCUUCGGGCGUGAUAGAGGUUUUUCCACACCUAUCGCUCUGGAAGCCUAGGCUCCGGCAGCCCGGGAAGCCAUAACAUUCCACGGUUUGACCUCGGAUCAGGUAGGGAUACCCGCUGAACUUAA